UACAGAGGUCUCAAGCGUUGUUCGGAUUCAUUGGGCGUAAAGGGCGCGUAGGCGGCAAUUCAAGUCAGUUGUGAAAUCUCCGAGCUUAACUCGGAACGGUCAACUGAUACUGUCUUGCUAGAGUACAGAAGGGGCAAUCGGAAUUCUUGGUGUAGCGGUGAAAUGCGUAGAUAUCAAGAGGAACACCUGAGGUGAAGACGGGUUGCUGGGCUGAUACUGACGCUGAGGCGCGAAAGCUAGGGUAGCAAACGGG
rnacentral:rRNA from 1 species